CUCUCAAUAACGGCGAGUGAACAGAGAAGAGCCCAGCACCGAAGCCUAUCUGCGUUUGUGGAUAAGGCAAUGUGGUGUUUAGGUGUAUGCCUGGGGUGGUCAGUCUAUCCGAAGUCCAGCAUAGAUUAUGGCUCUGGAUCUGGUCCAAAGCGGGAGAAAGACCCGUCCGGAUAGACUCUUAGGUAUGAUGACCGCCCUCAGAUGCAUUCACUUUGGAGUCGGAUAGCUUGAGAAUGCUGUCCAAAGCGGGUGCUAAACUCCAUCCAAGGCUAAAUACUUGCACGAGUCCGAUAGCUAACAAGUACCGUCAGGGAAAGUUGAAAAGUACUCUGAAGAGAGAGUAAAUAGUACGUUGAAACCGCCUGUAGGAAGCUGGUGGAUCAAGCUGCAUGCCCUUGAAAAUUAAGCAAGGAUUGUUGUGGUAUUGUGGAAUUUGGGGCGAUCCGGUGGUCCUUGUUAAUU
rnacentral:rRNA from 1 species